AUUGAACGCUGGCGGCAUGAUUUACACAUGCAAGUCGAACGGUAACAGGCCGCAAGGUGCUGACGAGUGGCGAACGGGUGAGUAAUGCAUCGGAACGUGCCCAGUCGUGGGGGAUAACUACUCGAAAGAGUAGCUAAUACCGCAUACGAUCUAUGGAUGAAAGCGGGGGACCGUAAGGCCUCGCGCGAUUGGAGCGGCCGAUGUCAGAUUAGGUAGUUGGUGGGGUAAAGGCUCACCAAGCCAACGAUCUGUAGCUGGUCUGAGAGGACGACCAGCCACACUGGGACUGAGAAACGGCCCAGACUCCUACGGGAGGCAGCAGUGGGGAAUUUUGGACAAUGGGGGCAAGCCUGAUCCAGCAAUGCCGCGUGCAGGAAGAAGGCCUUCGGGUUGUAAACUGCUUUUGUACGGAACGAAACGGCUCUGGUUAAUACCCGGGGCUAAUGACGGUACCGUAAGAAUAAGCACCGGCUAACUACGUG
rnacentral:rRNA from 1 species